CUCGUAGGCGGUUUGUCGCGUCUGCUGUGAAAUCCGGAGGCUCAACCUCCGGCCUGCAGUGGGUACGGGCAGACUAAAGUGCGGUAGGGGAGAUUGGAAUUCCUGGUGUAGCGGUGGAAUGCGCAGAUAUCAGGAGGAACACCAAUGGCGAAGGCAGAUCUCUGGGCCGUAACUGACGCUGAGGAGCGAAAGCAUGGGGAGCGAACA
rnacentral:rRNA from 1 species